rnacentral:lncRNA from 1 species
AAUAGGUUGGUGCCAAACGUCAUUUGUCAGUUAGUCUCUGUGUCGUGUCUUGAUAUAUGGAAAAGAACAUUCUUUGGAUGGCAGCUAGUUUUGUCAACGUGGUCUUUUGUUUCCUUUUAGGUUUAACACUUUGAACUGUAAUAUGGGAUGUGCUAUUUAUUUAUAGCCUAGCUAUUAUUUGUAAUUUUUUCCAACAUGACGUGGGUCAGUUCAAAUGGAACACGUCCUUUUUGAUAAAAACAAAAUUUCUCUGCACUCUUACCCAUUUGGUUUUCGAAACGAUUUCCACAUCAGCCUUUUGUUAUGUUACUACAUCACUAUACUAGCUUUCAUCAAAAUUUGGACAAUUUUAUAUGUUCUUGUACAGCCCUUUUAAAGAGGGCCAAUUGAUCUUCACUUGAGCUUACGCUGCUUUCUACUACUCGACUCCCCGGGCUGCACAUUGCACCUGUGCUGUGUAGUUCCUCUCCAUGAGGCGCUCUUCCUGCUCGCGUGGAUCGUAGUUGAGGGCGCCGACGUCGAUGCUCCGGUGGCGGCGCUCCUCGAACUGCUUGCUCGCCGCCGGCUCCGGCUUCAGGUUGGAGAGGUUCUCCAUGGCAGCCAUCCUUAUGCCGUCUUUGGAAUUCGCCGUGUUGCGGUUGCGGUGCUUCGUUUCCAACGUGUAAUGGAGCUUGUACUCCUGGCUCUUGUAGAGCACGUCCAACCGCCAAUUUCCUUGUAGUUCUCUUGUAGAACGUGUAAUGGUGCUUCGGUAUGUCGUUGGGAAUUUCCUUGCCGAUGGCCACCGCCAUCUUCAUCCAUCCACGGAAUUUCACAAACUGGAUCAGCAUUGCCAUCAAGUUUGGAUCAAUUUCGCAAGAAACAUGAAAACAUAUCUAAUCUCUCGAGAGAACAUUCUUCUGUAAUCUCUUUCUCGAUAAUCUCUCACUCGUUAUUUUUUUAACAUUCUUCUAUGUAUCGGUUUGAUACCUCUCUCGCUAAGCGCUCGGAAUUACCCGCAUGUGUGCCGGUGCAUGCGCAUGUGCGCCCGGCCAUAACCCCGGCUGGCAAGAGGUGAAAAAUUAGCUACGUUCCUAUAAUUUCCUCUCUUUUUAUCCUUGUUGUUAUUAGGCCGGUUUCUUGCAUGUUCUGCUACAUCCUUAUAGACUUGUUUUUUUAGUAAUUUCCUUGCUCCUCUAAUUUGGAUGGGAUUAUUAUUUUGUUUGCGCUCUCAGUCUAGCAGUAUGCUACCCGCAUGUUAAAAGAAUUAUUAAUCGGUUUUGCUAUAAUUGUGGUAACACAUUUUUUAUGGAAUCAGAGUCAAAUUUUAGACAGUUAGAUUUAUGUAAGAUUUGUGCAUGCGUACGAGGGCCACUGACUUGGUUUUUUGGCGUCAUUAAACAAUGCAGUCAGUAGAAGAAGCAGAAGAAGCAGUUGUAUUCUAUCAAACAAAAUAACGAUAAUCUGUCUGGAUAAUUAAUUAAGGUUUGAUUUAAUAUUUUUUUCAUCUCGAUUUGUCCUCACACUUUUGCAUGAAGAGAAGCAAAUCCAAACCUGAGUCAUUAAAUAUGUGCUUUGCUUUCUCCUUACCCGAGCUAAUGUUGCUCAUCUUCCGGCACAUUACCUAGUAGUAGCAAACAUUGUCCAAGGCUACACAUCAGUGGAAGAAUGAAAAUAGAGAACAAAAGAGAAUGAAAAGUAGAGAAGUUACGAUGUGCAUAUAAUGUUCAACACUAUAAUUAUAUAAUUAUAUUGUACUUACAACACACUUAUAUGAUAUAAUUACACUAUACUUACACUACAUUUACAUUGUACACUACAUUUACAUUGUACUUACACUACACUUACACACUUAAAUAGUACUUACGUUGGACUUACAUAAUAAUUAUGUUGUACUUACAUUUUAAUUAUUAUGUAAUUCCUAUAUUAAGCAUACUGUAAUAGUGUCAAUCGGUUAAUUAAUUAGCUUGCUAGCUUCAGGGGUGCAAAUAUUAUUUGUUUUUUCACGGUUUCCACAAAUUCCCGAUGCUGUUCUUGUUCCUUUUUCUUUGGCUAAAAUUUAAGUUCCAAAAAAAGCUGUGUUUAUGCUAAUUUUGAUCGGAAGUCAAAAAAGGUCAUCUUUUUUACCAAGGGACUACUAGAUGGAUAUCCCAAUAACUUCCACAGGCUCUACGGUUUGAGAUAAUUAAAUAUGCAACUUCUUCCCAAGGGCUGCUCUACUAUUUGGAAAUAAUUUAACAUGAACUUCCCAAGGACGCUACGGUUUUAAGAUAAUUCAUUAAAUUGAUAACUGCAUUGCAUUCUAUAGUUUGAUAUGCGUACAUGUAAUGCGUACAUGUAAUCCUCAAGAUAUCUCUACGUAUAACUAAUCUCGCAUAUCAUGCCCAUUCACAAUUAGAUCUCAUCUCAACUCACAAUAAUAAUCGACUAUGCUAAAAUUCCAUCGACAAUUUUUUUCAUUAAGAUUUGUCGAAUUUUCAGCCGUUAAUCUAACCAUGAGAUUCGUGCCCUCUUUGUGUCGGCACUCCCAUGAAACGUAACUCGUGAGCACUUGACCACCUGGUGGUACUGUACAUCCAUGCACACGGCUGAUUAUCUUUGUCGCUCACUAAUUAAAUAGUUUAAAGUUGUUGUUAAUCAUCUAGUGUACGGUUUCCUGUCAAAUUCAUGUUACCCAAAAGCGUAGAGAGGAUUAAAGCAUGGUAAUGAUAUGAGAGAGAGAGAGAGGAGGUAAGUUGAGGAAAAAAAUUACAGUGUAAAUAUAGUACUUUUAGAGUGUAAUUUGUUGUAAUUACAUUGUGACUCGUUGUAAAUUACAAUGUAAUUCUAUUAGACUUGUAUGUAAUUUAUUUUUUUUCUAUUUUUCACUAAGUGUAAGUUACACUUUAUUUUUAACUAUAAGGUUAUAUUUAAUAAUGAAUUCUGUGUUAUGAUACGUAUGAUUAUAUAAGUAUUAAAAAUCUGAGUGAUUUUAUGUCGGGUGAUCUAGAUACUACAUUAAUAUAACAUGUGCACAAACAAAUACGAAGAUUAUGGUGGCGGAUAAGAGCCCUAUCGACAAGGCUGUCCUCCAUGGCAAACACGAGCAAGAUGAUCUACGGGACGAUAAGGUGGUUUACGACGUGGAGUAGAAGCAACUCCUCCUUCCCACAUGUCGGCGGUGCCGUACGCGCUAUCGCAGGGCGGGUGGCUCAGCCUGGUGCUCUUCACCAUGGUCGGUGCCAACUGCUUCUACACCGGCAAACUCAUCGACCACUGCAUGCGCGCCAAUCGCUGAAUAUGGAGCUACCUAGACAUUGGCCACCGCCUUCGGCGGCUAUGGCCGGAUGGCUAUCAGCCUCGUCAUGUACGUCGAGCUCUACUUUGUCGCCAUCAGCUUCCUCAUUCUCGAGGGCGACAACUUGACAAGCUUCUCCCCAGCACGGUGGUGGAGAUUCUAUGGUACAGCUGCACGGGAAGCAGCUGUUCGUGCUCACGGUGGCCAUUGUCAUCCUCUCGACGACGUGGCUCAAGAACCUCGCUGGUUUGGGCCGGCGUGGCCGACAAGUGCUUCCACAUGGCGGGAAGCAACCUCUAGAAUCUGAGCAGGUUGCCCACCACCUGCCCACCACCCUCAGCCUCUACUUCUUCAUCUAUUUCAUCGGCCAUGGCGUCUUCCCGACCGUGCACUCCUUGAUGAAGUCUAAGAAGGAUUUUCCUAAGGUACACUUUUUAAAAUGUAUUUAUAUGUUUUACUUGAUAGUAAGUUUGCUAAAUUUUGUGAUAACAAUCAACAAUGUAAAUUUAGAAUUAUGGUUAAUGAAAAUUGAAAAGUCAAUGGUGGAAUUAAAUUAGCAACAGGUUUAGUAAGAAUACAAACAAAUUGUUUUUUAUUACAUGUAUGCAUGGAAGACACGCACACUCAUAAAUAUUUUUGAGAACUCGUACAUCACUAAUCAUGCACACCUCUUAAUCAUCAUCGCUGCUACGUUCUCAUCAUACUCACCAUUGCAGGUCUAUAUAUACAUCAUGUAGAUAAAAUUUAAGCUAAUAAGUUUAUUUGAUCGUCCAAUAAGAAUUAGGAUCAGACGAAAUGAACACUAAAAUCAUUUAUUAAAAUAAGUUGUACUAUCCUAAAAAAAGAUGUAAUGUUAAUUUACAGUGAUACGGAAUGGCGAGUGCAUUACUGGCAAGUGCAAUAUUCACAAUUUAGCAUUAAUAUAUAUUUUUGCAUAAUGAUGUAAAUUUAGCGUAAUGUCAGAUUGGCCUUUAGACUAAUUUGACGUGUGCGGUGACAUGGAGGCGUACUGUGCUAUAUUAUAGCCUAUCACCCCAGUGGAAUAAACUGGUGAAUGGAGGCAAUUAGGGUCGCCUCUCAACUAUAUUUGGUUACCUCUCAUCCACCCAUGUAAAAGCAAUGUAGCUUAAAGAUAAAGCUAAUCAUGAGCCGUCUAAUAUGGUUUAAUUUAUUUGCUAAAACUUGAACUUAGAAUAUGCGUCUAGCACUUCAAAUGAAAUAAUUGUAUUAGCCAUUUGAAUACAUAGUUUACGAAAUUUUGUUUUUAAGUAAUUUAAUGCGUAGUCCAAAACAAUUUUAGGUAAAUUAAAAGGUAGCAUAUCUAAAGUUGGAAGAUGUGUUGCAUCAUAAACUUUUCAAUGCCAAGUUAAAAUAGAUAUCUAUUAUGUCGUAUAUAUUCUUGUACUAAGUUUAGACUCAACCAACAGCUAUGAGAAUUGUUAGGGAUAAGAUGCAAAAGUUGUAGGGCACUGACUAUUGCUCAAUUAACUCAUGGAAGUUUCUUAAACAAUCUUGGACCUUUUACCAUUCUUUUACUGAUACUUAUCCAUGAUCUAACGGCAUAUAUUGUAUCAACCGUUGCAUUCAAUGGUCCAUAUCUUCAGAUGAUGUAGCUCAAUGAUGUUGCAUUUUAAGUUUUACCUUUCACUUGGAGAGAUUUGGCAAACAAUGAUAAUUGAUCAUUGGAUUAUCAAUUCCAAUUAUCGUAAUUUGGUUUAUGAAACCACGAUGAUGAUGAUAAUGGAUCAGUACUCCAAUAAUGUUCUAUUCCUCUCCAAUUAAUAUGCAGGUUUUGCUGAUCUCUUCGGUGCUGUGCAGUCUCAAUUACGCAGUGACAACAUUAUUGAGAUAUCUGAUCUAUGGUGAGGAUGUGCAGGCGCAGGUGACGCUGAACUUACCCUCGGGGAAGCUAUACACCAGGAUCACCAUCCUGACGACACUGAUCUCCCUGCUAGAGAAGUACGGACUCGAGAUCCAGCUCAUUGCAACGGUGAUAAAGGAGAAGCUGUCGUUGACGACGGCAGCGGCGACGGACGCCGAGAACAACAGGCAGACCAGGGUGCUCACCAGCACAGCCGUCGUUGUCAGCACGGUGGUGCUGGCGUGCACGGUACCCUUCUUCAGCUACCUCAUGUCGUUCAACGGAUCUUCGCUGAACGUCACCAUUGCCGUGUUGUUCCCAUGCCUGAGCUACCUCAAGAUCUACAUGCCCUGAGGAGGAGUUGGCCACUUCGAGGUGGCGGCGAUCGUCGGGAUACUGGUCAUCGGAGUGUGCGUCGUCGUCGUUGGCACCUACACCUCCCUUCACCAGAUUAUAGGCACAUUUUUGUAACAUCCCGGCCUAGGGCUUAAUAGGAUUAAUAGAAUACUCAUAUCAACAAGUUGCAACUUCUUUUCCGGAAGCCGAUCUCCAAAGAACUCCAGGGUUAAGCAUGCUUGGCCUGGAGCAAUUUGGGAUGGGUGACCGAUCGGGAAAUUCUUUCCGGGUGCACACGAGUGAGGACAAAGUGUGCAGAAAAGACAUGUGUUGGUCCGUGAGGGCAGUCUAUGACUUAUGAAAGCUGCCAGAUGUAAGUGGGCUCGACCUGGGAGAGGCAGGUCGUUACAAAAUGGUAUCAGAGCCGACUCUCGCGGUUUCACGGGCGCGUGUGUCGCAGUUGCGCAGGCAUGGUGCGCAUGGCUGGUGUAGACCUGGAGUGGUCACACAGCAUGGCACAUGCGCUAGCACUGGACACACGGACGUGGCCAAGAGAGGACGUUCCUGGCCUGGGGUUGAUCGACGGGGGCGUCGAUCUCUCUUAAGGGGGUGAGGGUGUAACAUCCCGGCCUAGGGCUUAAUAGGAUUAAUAGAAUACUCAUAUCAACAAGUUGCAACUUCUUUUCCGGAAGCCGUUCUCUAAAUAACUUCAGGGUUAAGCGUGCUUGGCCUGGAGCAAUUUGGGAUGGGUGACUGACCGGGAAAUUCGGAUUUCCCGGGUGCACACAAGUGAGGACAAAGUGUGCAGAAAAGACAUGUGCCCCCUCUCUAUGACCUAUGAAAGCUGCCAGAUGUAAGUGGCCUUGGCCUGGGAGAGGGUGCAGAAAAGACAUGUGCCCCCUCUCUAUGACCUAUGAAAGCUGCCAGAUGUAAGUGGCCUUGGCCUGGGAGAGGCAGGUCGUUACAAUUUUAGUAAUUAAAUAAGUUUCAAAUUCUUUUUUUACUUUGUCCUAAAAAAACAACAGAUAUGUUAUACAGAGUGUUAAGAAUCAACUGAGCGGCUAUAUAUUACAUGUGUACUCUCCUGGAAUGCCUACGUGUAUUAUCACUAAGGAAGUUUGUCACGCCCAGAAAUUCACAAGUAAUUUCCGAACUAAUUUGUACAUUAAGACCCUUGUUCAGGAAUCAGCCGAGGUACACAAACUGACAAUUUAAUAUACAGAUUCAUCAGAAUAACUAAAACAAUAAAUACUUACAUAAGAGGCACUUAGUCCUCACCAUGAAGAAAACUGCAGCGAAAAAUAAAAUCUAGCGAAGCUUAUGCUCCACUCCCACAGUCAGCUCAACUGGGAUCUAAGCCAAAGGUCUUCUCCUUCUGGAUCCUUUUUCUUCAACUGAGGUUCGAUGAUUAUUGCAAGAAUGAGCAUAUGACAUACUCAACAAGCCACACAGUAAAUAUGCAAGUGCACAAGGAUACCAAAGGAUGGCAUAAUAUAGGCUCAUUUGCAAAAGCAGCAUUUAGCAAAGAUACUCAACAAGCCACACAGUAAAUAUGCAAGUGCACAAGGAUACCAAAGGAUGGCAUAAUAUAGGCUCAUUUGCAAAAGCAGCAUUUAGCAAAGAUACUCAACAAGCCACACAGUAAAUAUGCAAGUGCACAAGGAUACCAAAGGAUGGCAUAAUAUAGGCUCAUUUGCAAAAGCAGCAUUUAGCAAAGAUUUAAGAGUAGUAAAACAGUAGAGUAAUUAAUCAUCAAUAUUAAUCAACACUGAACAGCACACCAAUGCUGCUCAGGCCCAAUCAAACCUGAACAACCAAUCCCGGUCGUACAGAUCAAACCUCCAAACCAGGAAUUAACCAUUCCAAACCAGGAGUCAAAUUAAUUAUCACAUUGUUAUCAUUAAUCAGUAGUGUGGGACUAAUCAUGAAAAACAUUGCUCAACUCGCCCAUAACCGCAGGCAUGGCUAUUCGAAUAGUUUUACUCUGGCCAGAGGUGUACCACUGUACCUACAAGACACGAUUCCACACAUGUUGCCAUGCCCCGAAGUACCACUACGGCACUGCAAAGGGGGAAAUCGUGACAAUACCCUUCGCACAACACAACUCACCACAGUGCACCAUUCCUGGAUCAUAAUCACCCCCUCUAUAAAUAUAACCAGAGGCAUGGACUCCCCAGCGACCCCCACGGACUUCUUGCCGCUUCUCAGUCUGGUGCCCCGUAAUGAAUCAUGCUAUACAAAAGGUAAAGCCGUUGCCCACGCUAGCUUGUGGUUGGCACGGUUAAUGUCUCACAACAGUAGCUCGCGAACCGGUCCUUAAUUGCCAUGAGCACGACCUUCAAAACCAUGUGCUCACAACCCACCAUUAACCAGGUUUUAAUUAUUAAUUAAUUAACAUAACAUGAUUAACCAUCGUGAUCUACCAUUAAAUAUAACCAUAAUUAAUAAUAAUAAUAUAAUAUAAUUUAUAUUUAAUCCUCUUUAAUUAGCUAAUGUUUCUAAGCAUGACUAAGCAAACAUACAUAUGGCAUUUAGCUGAACCAAUCCAAUAUAUAAGGUUCAUGCUAAUCAAAUUAUAACCCAUAGGAAAAUAAAGUCAUCUUCAGCCGUUAAUUAAUUGGGAAAGACUCACCACCCGAUGGCAUUCGAAAAUAAUUCAUAAGUUGAAAUAAAACAUUAACUUUAAACGGGUUCAACAUGCUCAAAGUGUUGUUUGGGAUUUGUGUGACUUGCCUUGCAAACAAGCGUCUUCAAUUCAUCUUCAGGAACUUCUCCAACGAACGAAUGAUCCUCCGAAACAACGGAAAACUAAACCUAGAAUGCAAAACGAGAAAAACACUAAUAAAAACCAAAUAAAUAGUACAAUUAAAGUUCAUAAAUAGAUAGAGCUUGAAUUUAGAUGAAUUAUGAGACUUGAACGACCUCCUUCCGAGUUCGUAUGAAUUAGAUAUGAAUUUUACAAGAUUUAAUUCCAAUUAAACCUAUUAAAGAAAAGACUAUUCCAAAUUGAUUAAACAAUUUACAAAUGAUUUAUAGCUGAGACAAAAGAUUAAAACAUCCUCCGGAAAAGAUUAGAUCAUAUUUGGUAGAUGACAUUUAUUAAAAAGGAAUAAUAUGUCAUUGAAAAGAGAUGACAAAUUUAUAUUAAUUUUGGAUGGCCAAGAUGGCGCGGUUGUCAGCGAUGACAUGGCUGCCACGCAGGAUCGACACUGGCGAGCCCGGGAACGGCGGUUACCAGCGAACCACGGUACAAUGACGCAAACGGAGGGCACCGGAAGAGAGGAGAUCAAGGCAACCCUUACCACCACUUACGCAACGACAAACGGCGAGGGAGAUGGCCGGCGACGAGCUCCAAAGGGCGGCAACCUUGGGUUGACAAUGGCGACGGCUUUCCGGCGAUGGGCGGCGGCAACGGAGGGGUGGACGAGCUUCUCCUCACAGCUACGAAUCCAAUGGAAGCAACGGCGACCGAAGGCGACGAUAGACGACGACGAACAGCGCGGCCGGAGAUAGAUUAGAUCGGCUUCACGGUGACGACCACUUCCAGCGGGGGUUUGGCGCAAAGGAACGGGUGGCCGGGGUAGCUCUCACCCUUGCGAAGCCGAGGGAGGUGACGGGGCUGACCGGCGACGGGCGGGGCGACGGCGCACGACGGCUGGAGAGGCGACCGGAGGUGGAGAGAGAGGGAGCUCGCGGGGAGGCGGCUAGGGUUAGGGAAAAAAUUCGGGAAAGAGGGGGAAACGGAAGAGGAGGUCGAGGGGCUGCUAUUUAUAGGAUUCGUGCGAAGAGAUUGGAUCAAAAACAACGGGAUUUGGCGAGAGAAAAACGAGGGUUUAUCCGAGUUCGCCGGAAAAACGGAGCUCGAAACCGCGUCGAAUUCACGCGAUAUACAACGAUAUUCAAAGGGGUUUCUUAGGGAUAAGGUAGAGGAGAUCGAGGGGAAUCCGUUUUUGCAACCAAUUUUGGAAACGGAGCACAGGAUGCGACGGAUUUUGCGAAGGAAGCGGCGGCGCACGCACACGGCUCGGCUCUGUACGGCUCGGCUGGAGGAGGAAGAAGGUACUGUAGCGAGGGUAGAUAAAGUAGACUUUUCCUGGGCUUCCUUUUCCUUACUUGCUUGGCCCGAUUGCUAGAGGGAAGAAAACUGGACUUCGGCUAAGAGAGAGGGAGAGGAGUGGGCUGAAUUCGGCCCAAACAAAGAAGAGGAAUUUUAAUUAACUUUUUAAUUUAAAUAAUUUCUGAAAUGAUCUUUCAUUUAUUAAAAAUACUUCCAAUGCUCAAAUAAUUCUGGUAAAAAUACAGAAAAUACUUGGGAAUACAAAGUAUUUAAUAAAAUUUUAUCUAGCUCAAGUUUAUGUUCAAAUUUUUCAUAGAUUUUAUUCACACACUUGCUUUAAUUAUUAAAUAAAUUCUAAAAAUUCCUUUUUCACAACAAUUUAUAAUUUAGCGAUUUUCAGGGUGUGACAAAGUUUCAUAACUUUCAUUGUCUUCUUGUUGACUAACUAUCACAGCUAAAAUUUAAAUUUUCGAGUUAGUUAAGUUUUUAGUUGUUAUGAAGUUUUUUCAUCAUAGUUUAUCUUCUUCCACCCUUAGUUUUAAAUCACUAGUAACACAUAUAAAAGUUGGGAUUUGCUAUAUAUGUGUCUACAUUUUUUUUGGUUUUAUCUAUAAAUUAUUUUUGGUUUGUUUCUUUUAGGGCUUAUUAGCCUACAACUGAAUCUUGUCGAUUAUGAAAGUAUGGUGAAAUAUGGCGCAAAUGGCCAUGCAUUUUAUGAGAUUAUUUUUUUAUGAGAGAUCGGUAGAAUAUAUUCCCUUCGUUUUUUUAAUAGAUGACGUUGUUGACUUUUAAAUGAGUGUUUGACCAUUCGUCUUAUCCAAAAUUUUUAUGCAAAUGUAUAAGAUAUAAAUCAAUGCUUAAAGUCAAGCAUAAUGAGGUGGAGAAUUCGUAUCAUUGGGCUUGUGGGCAUGUGACUCUUUGUUUUUUUUGAUUGUAUGCUAAACUUGGAUGUCUUUACUUCUGUUUUUUCACUGAAUAGUUUCUCUAUAUGUCUUGCUGCUACAGGCGCCCAACAUCACUUCAUGACUGUGGUAGGGAUAGUGAUGAUGACGACUUCCGAGACAUGGAUUAUGAUGUGGUAGCUCUUACUAAUAACUUGAGCCAGGCAUUGCGAUAUGGGAUAUAUAGCAAUGAUGAUAUGGAAGAGGUGUGUGUGUGAAUGAUUUUGUUUCUAUCGCUUUGAUGGUUUGCGUCGGUCAACAUGUUUCUCUGCCAGCACAUUUUGUUAGGUUUAAUUUGAGAGGAUUCUAUGGUGGAUAAAAUAUCAUCCUGUUACUCGUGCUAUUGCAUUAUCUACUUGAGUGACUCAGCAGCUCUACCAUAUUCCAGAUUUGCAGUUCCUUACAGCCUUACUAUACUAGAUACUAAUGAUGCUUGUUUCUUGAAUGCAGAAUCAAGGGACACUUGAACAUGAUGAUGAGGUAUAUUUAAGGAUUCUAGUUUACCCCCAUUUAUUGCUUUUUUGUUCUUUUCACCUGGUUUUAUGUUCAAUUUGAUUAAAUUUUCAGUACAACUCCUUAACGUUUGCUUCAAUCAGCCAUGUAAAAAGAACGGAAUGUUGCAUGCGGAAAAUAGUGUCUAUAACCAUAUUUGUUGAAGCUGUACUUCUGACAGAGUGGAUUUCCAUUGUUUUCUCCUUUCAGGAUGUCUAUUUUGAUGAUGAAUCAGCAGAGGUCGUAAUAUGUUCUCUGCGACUGGGAGAUGACCAAGAUGGGUAAUUUGUGAUCUUAUAAUAUACUUUGGUAUGCUUGUUUUUUUUUUUGCCCUUGGGCUAAUUAUGCAUGUAUGUAUUUAAUAGCAGAUAGGCUAACCUUUGGAAUCCUAUUUUCAGAAAGAAAUACAUAUACCAAUAUGAAUUCAUUCUAGGAUUAACUAGAUACACACAAUUCGUGAGAGCACUUUUCUAAUGUAUAUAUGCUAACCUUUACCAUAGGCUUAAGACAUAGUUAUACUAAUCUUGGUUUAUUUAAUAAUUGAAAAUUACAUAUGUACUCGUAGUAUGUGCUAUGAAUUACUCAUAUAAAUUUAAAUUCAGUACUUAAUUUUAAAAUUGUUUUAUCUAUUUUUAAUACUUAUAGGCACUUUUUAAUAACGGAUAAAGUUAAAUACUACUCAGGAUUUCAGCGCAUGCCUAUAUUUUAAACCUAUUAAGAGGUCAGCGUAAUGUAUAGUGACGCUGAGUUCCUUUUACAUGGCUAAUUUGUGCCAAGUCGGGUAGUGCUGAGACGUUUUAGUUCAGCGUCAUCAGGGUUAGCGCUGAGGUCACGGUCUAUUUUUUUAAAUUAGUUUGACAUGGUUUAUUUUUAAAAUUUUUAUAGAAGGAUUAAUUUGUCAAAAUUACAGUGUAAACAGAAGUAUCCAAAUCAAUACGUAUAGUGAUAGACCAAUCUUUUCCUCUUUUCUUUCUUCCCACGUGGGCCUACUUAGUCCAUUCAAUCGUGCAUGGAACCUUGCCCAUGAUGCUGCAUGAGCCAUGCACAACUGUGUAUAGGCGGGUUGCAUAGCAUCGUACACGCGUCAGAAAAGCAUUAUGCCACCUAGACCAACAGGCAGCUGGCAAAACAACCAUCAUGAGAAUAAUAGAUAGAUUAUUAUUUUGUUUGCUCUCCGUCCAGCAGUAUGCUACCUGCGUAUUAGAGGGAUUAUUAAUUGAGUACCUAUAUUUAUGUCGCCAUAUUUUUCAUGAAAAAAUAGUCAACAUGUAUUUACAUUGUAAGUCUUUAAAUUACAUAUGUAAUUUUAGUGUAUUUACAAUGUAAGUCCCAAAAUUACAUAUCAAGUCUCUAAAUUACAUAUGUAAUUUUCUAAUUUUACAAUGUAAUUUAACUUUGCAACCGGUUGUAGACAUAAUGGAGGACCGUGUACACAAUAUAGGAGAAGAAAAAGCAAAUUUAUUAUCAAUUGUACGAGUCCACGAAAUGCAAAUGCAAAUGAGCACAUAAGAGUUGGAGCUUGAUAAGGUGUCCCAAGUUAGUUACGCUUUCGGAUAGCUUUGAUCUGACACAAAAAAAUAUCUGACUGUAGUCAGGCCCCAAAUAUGUCGCCACACGUGAAGCAAAACCUUAUUAAUUUUGUUGACAUAAAUGAACGAACAACUAAUAAGCAUACUGUAAUAGUGUCAAUCGGUUAAUUAAUUAGCUUGCUAGCUUCAGGGGUGCAAAUAUUAUUUGUUUUUUCACGGUUUCCACAAAUUCCCGAUGUUGUUCUUGUUCCUUUUUCUUUGGCUAAAAUUUAAGUUCCAAAAAAAGCUGUGUCUAUGCUAAUUUUGAUCAGAAGUCAAAAAAGGUCAUCUUUUUUACCAAGGGACUACUAGAUGGAUAUCCCAAUAACUUCCAAAGGCUCUACGAUUUGAGAUAAUUCAAUAUGCAACUUCUUCCCAAGGGCUGCUCUACUAUUUGGAAAUAAUUUAACAUGAACUUCGCAAGGGCGCUACGGUUUUAAGAUAAUUCAUUAAAUUGAUAACUGCAUUAUGUAGUUUGAUAUGCGUACAUGUAAUCCUCAAGAUAUCUCUACGUAUAACUAAUCUCGCAUAUCCUGCCCAUUCAAAAUUAGAUCUCAUUUUAACUCUCAAUUAAUAAUCGAUUAAGCUAAAAAUACCUUGACAAAUUUUUCUGUUAAGAUUUGUUGAAUUUUCAGCCGUUAAUCUAACCUUUAGAUCCGUGACCUCUUUGUGUCAGCGCUCCCACAAAACGCUUAACCUGCGAGUGCUGGACCUGGACUACCUGGUACUGUACAUCCAUGCAUACGACUGAUUAUCUUUGUCACUCACUAAUUAAAUAGUUUAAAGUUGUUGUUAAACGUCUGGUGUACUGUUUCCUGUCAACUUCACUUUGCCCAAAAGCGUACAGGGGAUGAAAGCCUGGUAAUGAUGAGAGAGAGAGAGAGGAGGUAAGUUGAGGAAAAAAUACAGUGUAAAUAUAGUACUUUUAGGGUGUAAUUUGUUGUAAUUACAUUGUGACUCGUUGUAAAUUACAAUGUAAUUUCUUUUAGAUUUGUAUGUAAUUUAUUUUUUUCCCUAUUUUUCACUAUUACACUUUAAUAAUAAAUUAUGUGUUAUGAUACAUAUGAUAAGUUAUACAUGCUAUUUCCAUAUGUGUAUUAGGUAAUUAUUAAAAAUCUGAGGUGUUUGGUUUAAAAGUCUGUCGGGUGAUCUAUAAAUUCAUUAUUACUAAUAACAGGUACACACACAAACACAAAUAUUAUAGCGGUGGAUAAGAGCUCUAUCGAUGAGGCUCUCCUCCAUGGCAAACAUGAGCAAGAAGAUCUAUGGGAUGAUGAGGUGGUUUAUGACGUGGAGCAGCAGUAGAUCCUCGGCUCGUUCUGCAUGACUGGCGCUUCCUUCAGGAGAAGCUGCCUCAACCUCAGCAACGUGAUCUGCAGCAUCGGGAUGCUCUACGUGUCGUACGUGCUAUCGCAGGGCAGGUGGCCCAGCCUAGUGCUCUUCACCAUGGUCGGCGCCAUCUGUUUCCACACCGGCAACCUCAACGACCGCUGCAUGUGCUGAUCGCGGCGUACGGAGAUACUCCUUCGGCGGCUAUGGCCGGACGGCCAUCGGCCUCGUCAUGUACGUUGAGCUCUACCUCGUUGCCAUCAGCUUUCUCAUCCUCGAGGCCGACAACCUCAACAAGCUCCUUCCGGCACGGUGGUGGAGAUCCUAGUGUACUAGGUGCACGGGAAGCAAUUGUUCGUACUCGCGACGGCCACUAUCAUCCUCCCGACGACGUGGCUCAAGAACCUCAGCAUGCUCGCCUAUGUCUAGCGGCUGGGCUCGUCUCGUCGGUGGCGCUGACAGUGUCGCUGCUCUGGGCCGGCGUGGUCGACAAGGGCUUCCACGUGGCUCUUGAGUCUGAGCGGGUUGCCCACUGCCCUCAGCCUCUACUUCCUCUGCUUCGCAGGCCAUGGUUUCUUCCCAACCGUCUAAUUCUCGAUGAAGUCCAAGAAAGAUUUUCCUAAGGUAUACUUUUUAAAAUGUAUUUAUGUGUUGUACUUGAUAAUAAGUUUGCUAAAAUUUAUGAUAACAAUUAGCAAUCUAAAUUUAGAAUUAUGGUUAAUGAAAAUUUAAAAGUCAAUGGUGGAAUAAAAUUAGCAAUAGGUUUAAGAACAUGAACAUUUUGUUUUUUUAUUACAUGCAUGCAUGGAAGACAUGCACACUCAUAAUUGUUUUUGAGAACUCGUACAUCACUAAUCAUGCACACCUCUUAAUCAUCAUCGUUGCUACAUUAUCAUCAUACUCACCAUUGCAUGGCCCUCAUAUAUUUUGUUGGCCCUCAUAUAAGUUUAUUUUGAUCAUCCAAUUAAAAGUAAGAAUUAGGAUAUGACGAAAUCAACAUUAAAAUCAUUUAUUAAAAUAAGUUGUACUAUCCCAAAUUAAAAGAUGUUGUACUACUUAUAAAUUUUGUAAUGUUAAUUUAUAGUGAUAAGGAAUGGCGAAUGCAAUACGGAAUUAAUGGCAAGUGCAAUAUUAACAAUUUAGCAUAUAUAUAUAUAUAUAUAUAUAUAUAUAUAUAUAUAUAUAUAUAUAUAUAUAUAUAUAUAUAUAUAUAUAUAUAUAUAUUGCAUAAUGCCAUAAAUUUAGGGUAAUGUUGGGUUGGCCUUUCGACCAGUUUAGCAUGUGCAGUGAUGUGGAGGCAUACUGUGCUACAUUACAGCAUAUCACCCCAGCGGAAUAAAUUGGUGACUAGCGUGGAGGUGUAUUGUUCUAUAUUACAGCCUAUCACCCCAGCAGAAUAAACUGGUGACUUGGAGGCGAUUAGAGUCGUCUCUCAACUAUAUUUGGUUACCUCUCAUCCACCCAUGUAAAGGCAAUGUAGCUUAAAGAUAAAGCUAAUCAUGAGCCGCCUAAUAUGGUUUCAUUUAUAUGUUAAAACCUGAAGUUAGAAGAUGCGUCUAGCACUUAAAAUAAAAGAAUUAUAUUAACCAUUUGAAUUAGAGUUUACGAAAUUUUUUUAAAGUAAUUUUAUGCGUAGUCCAAUACAAUUUUAGAUAAAUCAAAAGGUAGCGUAUCUAAAUUUGGAAGAUGUGUUGGAUCAUAAACUUUUAUAUGCCAAGUUAAAAUAGAGAUCUAUUAUGUUGUAUAUCUUCUUGUACUAAGUUUAGACUCAACCAACGUGUAUAAGAAUUGUUAGGGAUAAGAUGCAAAAGUGGUAGGACAUUGACUAUUGCUCAAUUAACUCAUGGAAGUUUCUUGAACAAUCUUGGACCAUUCUCCAUUCUUUUACUGAUACUUAUCCAUGAUCUAACGGCAUAUAUUAUAUCUACUGUUGCAUUCAAUUGUCCAUAUAUUUAGAGAUUUGACAACCAAUGAUAAUUGAUCAUUGGAUUAUCAGUUCGAAUUAUCAUAAUUUGGUUUAUGAAACCAUGGCGAUAAUGAGAAUGGAUCAGUACUCCAAUAAUGUUCUAUUCCUCUCCAAUUAAUGUGCAGGUUUUGGUGAUCUCUUCAGUGCUGUGCAGUCUCAACUACGCAGUGACAACAAUGUUGGGUUAUCUGAUCUAUGGUGAAGUUGUGCAGGCGCCGGUGACACUGAACUUACCCACGGGGAAGCUGUACACCAGGAUCGCCAUCCUGACGACGCUGAUCACCCCGCUAGCGAAGUACGUGCUCGUGAUCUAGCCCAUCACAACAGUGAAUGAGGAGAAAUUGUCGACGACAACGGUGGCGGCAGCGGACGUCGAGCACAACGGGCUUACCAGGGUGCUCACCAGCACAGCCGUCGUUGUCAGCACGGUGGUGCUGGCGUGCACGGUACCCUUCUUCAGCUACCUCAUGCCGUUCAACGUAUCUUCGCUGAACUUCACCAUUGUCGUGUUGUUCCCAUGCCUGAGCUACCUCAAGAUCUACAUGCCUCGAUUUGGAGUUGGCCGCUUCGAGGUGGCGGCGAUCGUCGGAAUACUAGUCAUCGGAGUAUGCAUCGCCUUCGUUGGCACCUACACCUCCCUUCACCAGAUUAUAUGCACAGUUUGAUUGUGCAUUUGUGGGUAAGGUUGUAGGUUUUGGUAGUGAUUAAAUAUGUUUCAAAUUCUUUUUUUACUUUUUUUUCCUGAAAAAACAACAGAUAUGUUAUACAGAGUGUUAAGAAUCAACUGAGUGGCUAUAUAUUGCAUGAGUACUCCUGGAAUGCAUUUGUGUAUUAUCACUAAGGAAGUUUCAUAACUUUCAUUGUCUUCUUGUUGACUAACUAUCGCAGCUAAAAAUUAAAUUUUGAGAUUAGUAAAGUUUUCAGUUAUUCUCAAAUUUUUCCAUCAUUGUUUAUCUUUUUCUACCCUUAGUUUUAAAUCACUAGUAAUACAUGUAAAAGUUGGGAUUUGCUAUAUAUCUGUCUACAAUUUUUUUUGGUUUUAUCUAUAAAUUAUUUUUGGUUUGUUUUGUUCAAGGCUUAUUAGCCUAGAACUAAAUCUUAUCGGUUCUGAAAGUAUGGUGAAAUAUGACGCAAAUGUCCAUGCAUUUUAUGAGAUUAUUUUUUUACGAGAGAUCGGUAGAAUAUAUUCCCUUCAUUUUUUAAUAGAUGACGUCGUUGACUUUUAAAUAAGUGUUUGACCAUUCGUUUUAUCCAGAACAUUUAUGCAAAUGUAUAAGAUAUAAAUCAUGCUCCUCUUAUUUGGAUGGGAUUAUUAUUUUGUUUGCGCUGUCAGUAGCAGUAUGCUACCCACACAUUAGAAGAAUUAUUAAUCGGUUUUGCUAUAAUUGUGGUGACACAUUUUUUAUGAAAUCACAGCCAAAUUUUAGAUAGUUAGAUUUAUGUAAGUUUUGUGCAUGCGUACGAGGGCUACUGACUUGGUAUAGUGUCGUUAAACAACGCAGUCACUAGAAGAAGCAGUUAUUGUCAAACAAAACAACGAUAAUCUACCUAGGUAAUUAAUUAAGGUUUGAACUAAUAUUUUUUUAUCUCAAUUUGCCCACACACUUUUGCAUGAAGAGAAGCAAAUCCAAACAUGAGUCAUUAAAUAUGUGCUUUGCUUUCUCCUUACCCGAGCUAAUGUUGCUCAUCUUCCAGCACAUUACCUAGUAGUAGCAAACAUUAGCCAAGGCUACAUAUUGAUGAACAUAAGAAAAUAGAGAACAAAAGAGAAUGAAAAGUUGAGAAGUUACGAUGUGCAUAUAAUGUUCAACACUAUAACUAUAUAGUUAUAUUGUACUUAUACUAUACACACUUUACAGUACACUUAUAUGAUAAUUACACUAUAUUUAAACUACACUUACAUUGUACUUACACUACACUUGCACACUUAAAUAGUACUUAAGCUGGACUUACAUGAUAAUUAUAUUUAUAUUGUGCUUGCAUUUUAAUUAUUAUGUAAUUCCUAAUUUAUUAAACUGUAAUUUUGUGAUCACUAGUUUUCUAGAUGAAAUUUAAUUUAUGUUGUGUAUUUUAAUCGACUUACUUAUUUUUAAAUGGCUGUAAUCUAGUCUAAAAUUGAACCAACUAUUAUAGGCUCAAUUUUGUGGCGCCUGAGCUAUAGAUAGUCCUCAAUGAGCGAUGUAAAUAAUAUAUUUACAAAUAGCUAAUAAGCAAACUGUAACCGUGUAAAUCGGUUAAUUAAUUAGCUUGAUAGCUUCAGGGGUGCCAAUAUUAGUUGUUCUCUCAUGGAUUCUACAAAUUCCUGAUGAUGAUCUUGUGCCUUUUUCUUUGGCUAAAAUUAAAAGUUUCAGAAAAAGCUGUGUCAUGCUAUUUUUUAUCAGUAGUCAAAAAAUUUCAUCUUUUUUGCCAAGGGACCAGAUUACUAGAUGGAUAUCCCAAUAACUUCUAAACGCUCUAUGGUUUGAGAUAAUUUAAUAUGCAACUUCUUCCUAAGGGUUGCUCUACUAUUUGGAAAUAAUUCAACAUGAACAUCCCAAGGCCGCUAUGGUUUUUAGAUAAUACAUUGAAUUGAUAAUUGCAUUUUGUAAUUUGAUUUGCGUAUGCGUAAUCCUCAAGGUAUCUCCACGUAUAACUAAUCUAUCAUCCCCAUUCACAAUUAGAUCUCAUCUCAACUCUCAAUAAUAAUCGACUAUGCUAAAAAUCCGUCGACAAAUUCUUUUGUUAAGAUUUGUCGAAUUUUCAGCCGUUAAUCUAACCUUGAGAUCCGUGCCCUCUUUGUGUCAGUGCUCCCAUGAAACAUAACUCGCGAGUGUUCGACUACCUGGUGGUACUGUACAUCCAUGCAUACGACUGAUUAUCUUUGUCGCUCACUAAUUAAAUAGUUCAAAGUUGUUGUUAAUUGCCUAGUGUAUUGUCAAAUUCACUUUACCCAAAAGCGUACAGGGGAUGAAAGCUUGGUAAUGACAAGAGAGAGAGAGAGAGAGUGAGAGAGGAGGUAAGUUGUGGAAAAAAUUACAGAGUAAAUAUAGUGCUUUUAGAGUGUAAGUUGUUGUAAUUACAUUGUGACUCGUUGCAAAUUACAAUGUGAUUUCUAUUAGAUUUGUAUGUAAUUUAAAGAUAACAUUAUAAUUAAAAUAAAGUGUAACUUACACUUAGUGAAAAAUAGAAAAAAAUAAAUUACAUACAAAUUUAACAAAAAUUACAAUGUAAUUUACAACGAGUCACAAUGUAAGUACAACAAAUUAUACUCUAAAAGCACUAUAUUUACUCUGUAAUUUUUUCCACAACUUACCUCCUCUCUCUCUCUCUCAUCAUUACCAGGCUUUCAUCCCCUGUACGCUUUUGGGCAAAGUGAAGUUGACGAAACAGUACACUAGAUGUUUAACAACAACUUUUAACUAUUUAAUUAGUGAGCGAGAAAGAUAAUCAGCUGUAUGCAUGGAUGUACAAUACCAGGUAGUCCAACACUUGCGAGUUAAGCGUUUCGUGGGAGUGCUGACACCAAGAGGUCACGGAUCUCAAGGUUAGAGUAACGGCUGAAAAUUUGACAAAUCUUAACGGAAAAAUUUGUCGAGAUAUUUUUAGCUUAAUCGAUUAUUAAUUGAGAGUUGAGAUGAGAUCUAAUUUUGAAUGGGCAGGAUAUGUGAGAUUUGUACGUAGAGAUAUCUUGAGGAUUACGUGUACGCAAAUCAAACUAUAGAAUGCAGUUAUCAAUUUAAUGAAUUAUCUAAAAACCAUAGUGCCAUUGGGAAGUUCGUGUUGAAUUAUUUUCAAAUAGUAGAGCGGCCCUUGGGAAGAAGUUGCAUAUUGAAUUAUCUCAAACCGUAGAGCCUUUGGAAGUUACUGGGAUAUCCAUCUAGUAAUCUGGUCCGUUGGUAAAAAUGAUGGCAUUUUUUGACUUCUGAUCAAAAUUAGCAUAGACAGCUUUUUCUGGAACUUUUAAUUUUAGCCAAAGAAAAAGGAACAAGAACAACAUCGGAAAUUUGUGGAAACCGUGAGAAAACAACUAAUAUUUGCACCACUGAAGCUAGCAUGCUAAUUAAUUAACCGAUUGACACUAUUACAGUAUGCUUAUUAGCUGUUCAUUCAUAUGUGUCAACAAAAUUAAUACAGUUUUGCUACAUGUGUGGCAACAUAUUUGGGGGCUGAUUACAAUUAGAUUUUUUUUGUCAGAUCAAAGCUAUCCGAAAGCGUAACUAACUGGGACACCUGAUCAAGCUUCAACUCUUAUGUGCUCAUUUGCACUUCGUGGACUCGUACAAUUGAUAAUAAAUUCGCUUUUUCUUCUCUUAUAUUGUGUCCACGGUUCACCAUUAUGUCCACAAUCGGUUGCAAAGUUAAAUUACAUUUAAAAAAACAAAAAUUACAUAUGUAAUUUUGGGACUUACAUUGUAAAUACACUAAAAUUACAUAUUUAAUUUACAGACUUACAAUGUAAAUACAUGUUGACUAUUUUUUCAUAAAAAAUAUGGUAGCAUAAAUAUAGGUGCUCUGAAUUAGUAAUCCCUCUAACAUAUGGGUAGCAUACUGCUGGACUGAGGGAGCAAACAAAAUAAUAAUCUAUCUAUUAUUCUCAUGCUGGUUGUUCUGCCAACUGCCUAUUGGUCCAGGUGGCACAAUGCUUUUUUGAUGCGUGUAUGACGCUGCCUAUACACCCCGCCUAUACACGGUUGCGCAUGCCUCAUGCAAUAUCAUGGGCCAGGUGCCAUGCAUGCACGAUUGAAUGGACUAGGUAGGAAGAAAGAAAAGAGGAAAAUAUUGGUCUAUCAUUGUACGCAUUGAUUUGGCUACUUCUGUUUACGCCGUAGUUUUGACACAUUAAUCCUUCUAUAAAAACUUUAAAAAUAAACCAUGUCAAAAACUACUUAAAAAAAUAGACCGUGACCUCAGCGCCAACCCUGAUGACACUAAACUAAAACAUCUCAACACCACUCGACGUGGCACAAAUUAGCUAUGUAAAAGGAACUGAACGUCACUAUACAUUACACUGACCUCUUAAUAGGUUUUAAAUAUAUGGCAUGCGCUGAAAUCCUGAGUAGUAUUUAACUUUAUCUGUUUUAUCAAAAAAGUACCUAUAAGUAAUAAAAAUAGACAAAACAAUUUUAAAAUUAAGUAGUGAAUUUAAAUUUAUACGAGUAAUUCUUAGCACAUACUACGAGUAUAUAUGUAAUUUUCAAUUAUUAAUAAAUAAAUAAACCAAUAUUAGUAUUACUAUGUCUUAAGCAUAUGAUAAAGGUUAGCAUAUAUACUUUAGAAAAGUGCUCUCACGAAUUGUGUGCAUCUAGUUAAACCUAGAAUGAAUUCAUAUUGGUAUAUGUAUUUCUUGCUGAAAAUAGGAUACCAAAGGUUAGCACAUAUCUGCUUUUAAAUACAUAAACGCAUAAUUAGCCCAAGGGCAAAAAAAAAAAGAGGAUACCAAAGUAAGUUUUAAGGUCAUCUCCCAGUCGCAGAGAACAUAUUACGACCUCUGCUGAUUCAUCAUCAAAAUAGACAUCCUAAAAGGAGAAAACAAUGGAAAUCCACUCAGUGAGAAGUACAAUUUCAACAAAUAUGGUUCUAGACACUAUUAUCCGCAUGCAACAUUCCAUUCUUUUUACAUGGUUGAUUGAAACAAACGUUUAGGAACUGUACUAAAAAUUUUAAUUAAAUUGAACUAAAAAACAGGUGAAAAGAACAAAAAAAAAGCAUUAAAUAGGGGUAAACUAGCAUCCUUAAAUAUACCUCAUCAUCCCGUUCAAGUGUCCCUUGAUUCUGCACUCAAGAAACAAUCAUGUAUCAUUAGUAUCUAGCACACUAAGGCUGUAAGGAACUACAAAUCCGGAACAUGGUUAGACCUGGUGAGUCGUUCAAGUAGAUAAUGUAAUAGCAUGGGUAACAGGAUGAUAUUUUAUCCACCAUAGAAUCCUCUCAAAUUAAACCUAACAAAAUGUGCUGGCAGAGAAACAUGUUGACUGAUGCAAACCAUCAAAGCAAUAGAAACAAAAUCAUUCACACAUACACCUCUUCCAUAUCAUCAUUGUUAUAUAUCACAUAUCGGAAUGCCUGGCUCAAGUUAUUAGCAAGAGCUGCCACAUCAUAAUCCCUGUCUCGGAAAUCAUCAUCAUCACUAUCCCUACCAUGGUCAUGAAGUGAUGUUGGGUGCCUGCAGCAACAAGACAUAUAGAGAAACUAUUCAGUGAAAAAACAGAAGCAAAGACAUCCAAGGUUAGCAUGCCAUCAAAAAAAAAAAACAAAGAGUCACAUACCCACAAGUCCAAUGAUAAGAACUCUCCACCUCAUUACGCUUGACUUUAAGAAUAUCAUUUAUAUAUUAUAUAUUUGCAUAAAAGUUUUGGAUGAAGUGAAUGGUGAAACACUCAUUUAAAAGUCAAUGGCGUCAUCUAUUAAAAAACUGAGGGAAUAUAUUCUACCGAUCUCUCAUAAAAAAAUAAUCUCAUAAAAUGCAUGGCCAUUUGCACCAUAUUUCACCAUACUUUCAGAAUCGACAAGAUUCAGUUCUAGGCUAAUAAGCCCUGAACAAAACAAACCAUAGAUAAAACCAAAAAAAAAAAAUUGUAGACACACAUAUAGCAAAUCCCAACUUUUAUGCGUGUUACUAGUGAUUUAAAACUAAGGGUAGAAGAAGAUAAAUUAUGAUGGAAAAACUUCAGAAUAUAUUAAAACUGAACUAAUUUCAAAACUUAAAUUUUAGCUGCGAUAAUUAGUCAACAAGAAGGCAAUGAAAGUUAUGAAACUUAGUGAUAAUACACAUGCAUUCCAGGAGAGUACACAUGCAAUAUAUAGCUGCUCAGUUGAUUCUUAACACUCUGUGUAGCAUAUAUGUUGUUUUUUCAGGAAAAAUAGAAUUUGAAACCUAUUUAAUUACUACCAAAACCUACCACCAUACCCACAAAUGCCCGAUCAAAAUGUGCCGAUAAUCUGGUGAAGGGAAGUGUAGGUGCCAACGAUGGUGACGCACACUCCAAUGACCAGUAUCCCAACAAUCGCCGCCACCUCGAAGCGGACAACUCUUCCUCGGGGCAUGUAGAUCUUGAGGUAGCUCAGGCACGGGAACAACAUGGCAACGACGACGUUCAGUGAGAACCCGAUGAACAACAUGAGGUAGCCGAAGAAGGGCAAAGUGCACGCCAGCACCGUCAUGUUGACAACGACGGCUGCUGGUGAGCACCCUGGUUAGCCCGUUGUUCCUAUUGUCAGCCACCGCCGCCAUCAUUGCCGACAGCUUGUCCUCUAUCGCCAUUGUGAUGGGCUGGAUCACGAGCGCGUACUUCGCCAGCGGGGUGAUCAGUGUCGUCAAGAUGGCGAUCUUGGUGUACAGCUUCCCCGUGGGUAAGUUCAGUGUCACCUUCACCUGCACAUCCUCACCAUAGCUCAGAUAUCCCAACACUGUUGUCACUGUAGAGUUGAGACUGCACAUCACCGAAGAGAUUAGCAAAACCUGCACAUUAAUUGGAGAGGAAUAGAACAUUAUUGGAGAGGAAUAGAACAUUAUUGGAGUACUGUUCCAUUAUCAUCAUCGUCAUGGUUUCAUAAACCAAAUUAUGAUAACUGGAACUGAUAAUCCAAUGAUCAAUUAUCAAUUGGUUGCCAAAUCUCUCUAAGUGAAAGGUAAAACUUAAAAUGCAACAUCAUUGAGCUACAUCAUCUGAAGAUAUGUACCAUUGAAUGCAACGGUUGAUAUAAUAUCCACUGUUAGAUCCUGGAUAAGUAUCAGCAAAAGAAUGGUAAAAGGUCCAAGAUUGUUCAAGAAACUUCCAUGAGUUAAUUGUGCAAUAGUCAAUGCCCUACCACUUUUGCAUCUUAUACCUAACAAUUCUCAUAGCUGUUGGCUGAGUCAAAACUUAGUACAAGAAUAUAUACAACACAACACAAUAGAUCUAUCUUUUAACUCGGCAUUAAAAAUUUUAUGAUGCAACAGAUCUUCCAAAUUUAGAUACGCUACCUUUUAAUUUAUCUAAAAUUGUAUUGGACUACGCAUUAAAUUACUUAAAAUUUUUUUCAUAAACUAUGUAUUCAAAUGGCUAAUAUAAUUAUUUCAUUUUAAGUGCUAGACGCAUCUUCCAACUUUAGGUUUUAGCAUAUAAAUUAAACCGUAUUAGGCGGCUCUUGAUUAGCUUUAUCUUUAAGCUACAUUGCUUUUACCUGGGUGGAUGAGAGGUAACCAAAUCCCAACUUGAGAGGCAGCCCUAAUCGCUACCAUUCACCAGUUUAUUCCGCUGGGGUAAUAGGCUUUAAUAUAGCAUAGUACGCCUCCACGCUAGUUACCAGUUUAUUCCACUGGUGUGAUAGGUUGUAUUGUAGCACAGUACGCCUCCACAUCACCGCACACGUCAAACUAGUCGAAAGGCUAACGCGACAUUACCCUAAAUUUACAUCAUUAUGCAAAAAAAUAUAUUAAUGCUAAAUUGUGAAUAUUGCACUUGCCAUUCCAUAUAUCUGAAAUUAACAUUACAAAAUUUAUAAGUAGUACAACAUCAUUUUUUAGCGAUAGUACAACUUAUUUUAAUAAAUGAUUUUAAUGUUGAUUUCGUAUGAUCCUAAUUCUUAUUAGACGACCAAAAUAAACUUAUUAGCUCGAAUUUUAUCUACAUGAUGUAUAUGUAGACCUGCUAUAUGAUGGGAGCGCCAACAAAGUAUAUGAGAGCCAUGCAAUGCUGAGUAUGAUGAGAACAUAGCAGCGAUGAUGAUUAAGAGGUGUGCAUGAUUAGUGAUGUACGAGUUCUAAAAAUAAUUAUGAGUGUGCGCGUCUUCCAUGCAUACAUGUAAUAAAAAAGUAAUUUGUUUGUAUUCUUACUAAACCUGGUGCUAAUUUAAUACCACCAUUGACUUUUAAAUUUUCAUUAACCAUAAUUCUAAAUUUACAUUGUUAAUUGUUAUCACAAAUUGUAGCAAACUUACUAUCAAGUACAACACAUAAAUACAUUUUAAAAGUGUAUAGGAAUUAUGAGUGUGCGCGUCUUCCAUGCAUACAUGUAACAAAGAAACAAUUUGUUUGUAUUCUUGCUAAACCUGUUGCUAAUUUAAUACCACCAUUGACUUUUAAAUUUUCAUUAACCAUAAUUCUAAAUUUACAUUCUUAAUUGUUAUCACAAAUUUUAGCAAACUUACUAUCAAGUACAACACAUAAAUACAUUUUAAAAGUGUAUAGGAAAAUCCUUCUUAGACUUCAUUGAGCAGUAAACGGUCGGGAAGACGCCAUAGCCGGCGAAGCAGACGAAGUAGAGGCUGAGGGCAGUGGGCAACCCGCUCAGCGCAACCGACAAGGCCAGCCCGACCGCCGAGAUAGGCAAGCACGCUGAGGUUCUUGAGCCACGUCGUCGGGAGGAUGACAGUGGCCGCCGCGAGCACGAAUAGCUGCUUCCCAUGCACCUGGUACCCUAGGAUCUCCACCACCGUGCCGGGGAGGAGCUUGUCGAGGUUGUCGCCCAAGAGGAUGACGAAGCUGAUGGCGACAAGCUAGAGCUCGACGUACAUGAUGAGGCCGAUGGCCGUCAGGCCAUAGCCGCUGAAGGUGAGGUGGCCGAUGUCCAGUAGCUCAGCGAUCGACGCGCAUGCAGCGGUCCAUGAGGUUGAUGGUGUAGAAGCAUAUAGCUUGGUGAAGAGCGCCAGGCUAAGCCACCUGCCCUGCGAGGGUAGAUCAGCGAUCGACGCGCAUGCAGCGGUCCAUGAGGUUGCCGGUGUAGAAGCAGAUGGCUUGGUGAAGCCACCUGCCCUGCGAUACCAGCAUGGAGAGCCACAUGCCCUGAGAUAGCGCGUACAGCACGGAGAGCAUCCUUACGCUUGAGGGAGCAUGUUCCUUACGCUGGAGGGAGCACGUGCGCUGUACGCGAUCGUCCCUAGAUCUUCUUGCUCAUGUUUACCAUAGAAGGGAGCCUCGUCGAUAGGGCUCUUAUCCGCCGCCAUAAUCUCAUGUUCCAGACGGUUGACGUUUGACCGCACGGAAAAAAUUGUUUCUCUACUAGUGUACUAACGGCUUCUAUAAUUAGUUUUUUUCUACUAGUGUACGAACGGCUUCUAUAAUUAGUUUUUUUAUUAGUGCCCAAACAACUCAUGCAAUACCCUAUAUAAUAUCCGAUGUGACGUGCCAAAGCUUUAUACCCAUGGAUCUAAACACCCCCUAUGAACUGUAAAUAUGGGAUGGAUGUGCUAUUUAUUUAUAGCCUAGCUAUUAUUUGUAAUUUUUUCCGACAUGACGUGGGUCAGUUCGAAUGGAACACGUCCUUUUUGAUAAA